rnacentral:rRNA from 1 species
GACAGAGGGGGCAAGCGUUGCUCGGAAUCACUGGGCGUAAAGGGCGCGUAGGCGGGAUGGCAAGUCGGUCGUGAAAUCCUUCGGCUCAACCGAAGAACGUCGGCCGAUACUGCCGUUCUUGAGGGAUGCAGAGGAGAUUGGAAUUCCCGGUGUAGCGGUGAAAUGUGUAGAGAUCGGGAGGAACACCGGUGGCGAGGGCGGGUCUCUGGGCAUCUCCUGACGCUGAGGCGCGAAAGCGUGGGGAGCAAACGGG